GGGGGGGGGGGGGGGGGGGGGGGGGGGGGGGGGGGGGGGGGGGGGGGGGGGGGGGGGGGGGGGGGGGGGGGGGGGGGGGGGGGGGGGGGGCAGCCCUGGGCCGCGGCCGAGGCCGCCUGCGCGGUGACACACGCGCACCUGGCCUCUGUCACCAGCGCCGAGGAGCAGGUGAGGGGGACACCGCCGGGGACACCGCAGGGACGGCCACUCCUGUCCUGGCCUGCUCUGUCCCCUCCCAGCUGAGCAGCGUCUGCCUGUGCACCGUUCUGGGCGUGUCCCCAAGUCCUGUCCCCAGAUCCUGUCCUGUCCCCAAAUCCCGGGCACAGCCCCUGUCCCCAACCCCUGUUCUGUCUCCAAGCCCUGUCCCCAACCCCUGUCCUGUCCCCAAAUCCCGGGUACAGUCCCUGUCCCCCACCUCUUGUCGCCAAACUGUCCCCAGCCUGCAGCCCCUGUCCCCAAAUCUUGUCCCCAAAUCCUGCCCUGUCCCCAAAUCCCGGGCACAGCCCCUGUCCCCACCCCCUGUCCCGUGCCUGUCCCCAACCCUUGUCCCCCACCCCUCCUACCUGCGCAUCCUCCACCCCCCUCCCUUCCCCUGUCCCCAAAUCCUGUCCCCAAAUCCCGGGCACAGCCCCUGUCCCCAAAUUCUGUCCUGUCCCCCACCCCCUGACCCCAAAUUGUCCCCAGCCCGCAGCCCCUGUCCCCAAAUCCUGUCCCCAAAUCCUGCCCACAGUCGCUGCCCCUGUCCUUACCUGCAGUCCCUCGUCCGUGUCCCCACAGUCUGUCCCCAGAUCUUGUCCCCAGUCCCUGUUCCCCAACCUAUCCCCAUGUCCUGCCCCAGUCCCUGUCCUUACCUGCUGUCCCUGUCCCCAACCCUUGUCCCCAACCCCAACUCCUGUCCCUGUCCCCAUGUCCCCACAGGUGACACCCCUUCGGCGGCACAGCUGCGGCAGGACCGGCUCGGGCGGUGGCUGCAGGCGCUGGCGCUGGGCUGGCGCUACCACCGGGGCAAGAUUUACCUGUUCUCGGGCCAGCGGCAGGCCGGGGGGGGGGGGGGGGGCAGCCCUGGGCCGCGGCCGAGGCCGCCUGCGCGGUGACACACGCGCACCUGGCCUCUGUCACCAGCGCCGAGGAGCAGGUGAGGGGGACACCGCCGGGGACACCGCAGGGACGGCCACUCCUGUCCUGGCCUGCUCUGUCCCCUCCCAGCUGAGCAGCGUCUGCCUGUGCACCGUUCUGGGCGUGUCCCCAAGUCCUGUCCCCAGAUCCUGUCCUGUCCCCAAAUCCCGGGCACAGCCCCUGUCCCCAAAUCCUGUCCCCAAAUCCCGGGCACAUUCCCUGUCCCCGUCCCCAAAUCCCGGGCACAGCCCCUGCCCCCAAAUCCUGUCCCCAAAUUCCGGGCACAUUCCCUGUCCCCCACCUCUUGUCGCCAAACUGUCCCCAGCCUGCAGCCCCUGUCCCCAAAUCUUGUCCCCAAAUCC
rnacentral:lncRNA from 12 species